GACGAACGCUGGCGGCGUGCCUAAUACAUGCAAGUAGAACGCUGAAGGAGGAGCUUGCUUCUCUGGAUGAGUUGCGAACGGGUGAGUAACGCGUAGGUAACCUGCCUGGUAGCGGGGGAUAACUAUUGGAAACGAUAGCUAAUACCGCAUAAGAGUAGAUGUUGCAUGACAUUUGCUUAAAAGGUGCAAUUGCAUCACUACCAGAUGGACCUGCGUUGUAUUAGCUAGUUGGUGAGGUAACGGCUCACCAAGGCAACGAUACAUAGCCGACCUGAGAGGGUGAUCGGCCACACUGGGACUGAGACACGGCCCAGACUCCUACGGGAGGCAGCAGUAGGGAAUCUUCGGCAAUGGGGGGAACCCUGACCGAGCAACGCCGCGUGAGUGAAGAAGGUUUUCGGAUCGUAAAGCUCUGUUGUAAGAGAAGAACGAGUGUGAGAGUGGA
rnacentral:rRNA from 1 species